UUUUUUUUACAGAUGAAAUCCCAUCUCUUCUUUUUCAAAGCGUAUUUUUUUUUUAAAAGAAAAGUAUUCUAUUUUUCUAUACUUUCUCUUUGUUCUGAAGGCUUUGGGGUUUUUUUCUAUUUAUUCUGGAUUCUGGCUUUCACAUGGAGGCUCACCUCAAAUAUAUCUGUGGAUAGUUGGUUAUACCUUCAUUUUUAAGGAUACACCAAAAACCUGGUUGGUCGAAUAGGCACAGGUACGAGGCUUAUCGCGCAGCAGGCUUCAUGAUGGUGUGAUAGCACAGGGGCCAAGCUCCAGCCUUGGAGGUCCCUAAAUAACAUUAUGUGCACAAUUUUCUAUUGUGUAGAUAUUUUCUACAAGUACAUUUUUAAAUGUUCUGCCAGGAGGCUGGGAGUGGGACAUAAGUGUAAAGCCAGAGCUGGACAUUUUGGAAGGCGAGUCGGGAGGAAAGAUGGUGAGUGUGGAUAUCACGGCUCCAAACAUCAACCUUCAGUUAAUUCCAUUUAUUCCGUUAUUUUCAGUGGGACCCUCAAACUUUACUGUGCCUGGUGUUCCUCCGUACAGAGUCCCACUGAUUUAACCUCUUCAGAGGGUUAGUUACCAUCUCAGCCAGAAGCAUCUAGGGAUAGUUCCACAAAUAUUUCACUGGGGCUCUCUCUCUUGCUUAUCAGUCUUCAGUGAGUUCUCCUGCUCUUUGGGGAAAAUUCAGCUCUCUAAGCAAAACCUCCUGACCUGGCUUCUGAUCGUCUUUUCACCCUUUAUCUCAACGUAUUUUUUCCCUCCUCAUUUCACUGCUGUCACUCCAUCCACCUCCCCUGUAGGAUCCUGGUACCCUGGGCUUGUUCCUGUUGCCUGCUUGGGUCGUGCUCUUCCAGACCUACGACCUUCUCACUUGCUCUACUCUCUGCCAGGAACCAGUAUUUUCACUCCUGUUUGACGUGACUAACUCCCAUCCAUCUGUUAGAUGUCAGCCCACAUGUCACUGCAUAGACUUUAUCACACUAUAUUUUAAUUGCUUAUAUAUUAGAUUUUCCACUGGAGAAAAAGUUCUUUGAGUGCAGGGACCCAGAGCUGAUCCCAGCACCUGGUCCACAGAAGUGCUUUAAUAAAUAUUAAUUAGAUGAAAUGAUUAAGGAAAAGAUGGAAGGAGGAUGAAAGGGAGGAAGCCCUCAGAAUCCUUCUCUUCUGCCCUCCCCAGUCCUUAUUUACAGUAAAUCUGGUAUCUUCCCUUGCAUGUUAAACUAAUGUACCUAUAAAACUAUCGAACUGGCGUAAGAUAUAAUAGUGUGGAUGGUCACAUCUCUUUCAUUUCAAAGCGAGCUGGAUGUCUACUCAGCCCGGCUCCCUAUCUCAGAAAUACACCACGGGACACCAGAAAUACUGGAGAAGAGGAUCCAGCCCUCCUACUGCUUUGAGGGCCGGGGGGUAGCCUGUGGCUUUUGACAAUGGGUGACUGGCAUUAUAAAUAAAAGAUGACGUAUUUAUAAUGAAUCAAUUUGGAGGACAGAAGGAAAAAGAAUUUUCUGUAUUAUUCUUACAUGCACGUUUGGAUUUUCCUGUUAAACCUGGUUGUCAAUGAGCCUUUGGAGCAUAAACCACUCCUUCACCUUCCCUCCAACCCCCAUGAGUUCUGAGGACUCAGCAGGGCAAACCCUCAUGGGCUCCCUCUGCGUCUACCGCCUCCCCAUCCCCACAGCAGUCUGAGGGCUCUUCCUCCUGAACCAGCCUCUGGAAUUUUAAUUCAGCCCUGCCCUGAAAGGCCCAUGCACCAGCUCGUCCCCCUGCUCACCAUUAAAAUAUAUCCUUCCAUAUGAUAUCACUUAUAUCUGGAAUCUAAUAUAUGGCACAAAGGAAACUUUCCACUGAAAAGAAACUCAUGGACUUGGAGAAUAGACUUGUGGUUGCCAAGGGGGAAGGGGAGGGACUGGGAGGGACUGGGAGCCUGGGGUUAAUAGAUGCAGAAUGUUGCCUUUGGGAUGGAUUAGCAAUGGGAUCCUGCUGUGUAGCACUGGGAACUCUGUCUAGUCAAUUAUAAUGGAACAGGUAAUGUGAGAAAAAAGAAUGUAUACAUGUAUGUGUAACUGGGUCACCAUGCUGUGCAGUAGAAAAAAUAUAUAUAUCAAGAAAUAAAAAUAGGAGUUCCCGUCGUGGCUCAGUGGUUAACGAAUCCGACCAAGAACCAUGAGGUUGCAGGUUCGGCCCCUGCCCUUGCUCAGUGGGUUAAGGAUCUGGUGUUGCCGUGAGCUGUGGUGUAGGUUGCAGACGUGGCUUGGAUCCUGCGUUGCUGUGGCUCUGUGUAGGCUGGCAGCUAGAGCUCCAAUUCGACCCCUAGCAUGGGAACCUCCAUAUGCCGCGGAAGCGGCCCAAGAAAUGGCAAAAAGACGACAAAAAAAAAGAAAGAAAGAAAGAAAGAAAGAAAAAUAAAGCACUUUUUAAAUAUUUUUAUAUUUUUUCCAAAUAUAAAAAAGAAAAAUAAAUUAAUUUUUUUUUAAAUUUAACUAAAAAAAAAAAAGUAAAACAUACCCUUCUUUGCAGCAACAGUGAUGGACCAUGAGACCAUCAUACAAGGCAAGUCAGAGAAAAAGAGACAGAUAUCAUAUGAUGUCCCUUAUAUGUAGAAUCUUUUAAAAAUGAUACAAAUGAACUUAUUUACAAAUAGAAAGCAUCUCACAGUCUUGGAAAACAAACCAAUGGUUACCAAAGGAAAAGGGUGGGGGUGGGAGGGACGUUAUUGGCAACUUGGGAUGGGAUAUGCAGGUGACGGUAUGUGGAGCGGCUGGUUGGUCGGUGGGGACCAGGGAGCACUGAGUAGCAAUAUUCCGUGAUAACCUAAAUGGGAAUGGAUUGUGUACGUGUAUACCUGAAUCUGUACAGCAGAAAUUCACACAACAUUAUGACUCGACUAGACUUCACUACAAUUUAAAAAAAAUAAAAUAUACCUUUAAAGCCUCAUUGGUUACAUGUAGUAGCUCCCAGAUAGGUGACGUAAUGAUCUUUUAGGUGAAGUUUCCAGCCUAAUUAGAUGGUAGCAGAGCCUUCUUAGAGUAUCUGGGAACAGGGAGUCUGGCCCUGUUUAGACACUGGCAGCUGUACUGAGAAGAACCCAGCUGCAAACUAGAUGACCUAAUAAGGUCUUUUUCAUCUGCAGAAUCUCUGAUUAUAGGCGUGUCAUUUCUAUUUCCAUUCCAGAAUAAGCUUUGUGACUUUCUAAAGACUGAAAAAAAAAAUCUCAUUUAGUUCUUUAUGAG
rnacentral:lncRNA from 1 species